GAGUUUGAUCAUGGCUCAGGAUGAACGCUAGCGGCAGGCCUAAUACAUGCAAGUCGAACGGGAUUUGGGUAGCAAUAUCCAAUGAGAGUGGCGCACGGGUGAGUAACGCGUAUGCAACCUACCUUUAACAGGGGAAUAGCUCCGAGAAAUCGGAAUUAAUGUCCCAUAGCAUCUAUAAGUUACAUGAUUUUUAGAUUAAAGCUCCGGCGGUUAAAGAUGGGCAUGCGUGCCAUUAGCUAGUUGGUGAGGUAACAGCUCACCAAGGCUAUGAUGGCUAGGGGUUCUGAGAGGACUAUCCCCCACACUGGUACUGAGACACGGACCAGACUCCUACGGGAGGCAGCAGUAAGGAAUAUUGGGCAAUGGGGGCAACCCUGACCCAGCGACGCCGCGUGGGGGAAGACGGCCUUCGGGUUGUAAACCUCUUUUGUACGGGAAGAAGGAAGUGACGGUACUGUACGAAUAAGUCCCGGCUAACUACGUGCCAGCAGCCGCGGUA
rnacentral:rRNA from 1 species